CACACACACACACACACACACACCACACACACACACACACACCACACCACACCACACCACCACCACCACCACUACCAAUAGCAGUUGGCGCGCCGGCUGAAAUUACGGAAGAAAAGAUCGGCACUUUCCGAUGACAGUAAUGAUUACGUUGCGGCGAAAGGGCGUCAAUCGAAUUUCGAAAGGAUGCGUCUUGCACACGCCUCUUAAGAGCGGACCGCUGAAUACUAUUAUUACACUGCGGGGGCACGUAUACGUGUAGAUUUUUACGAAAAUAGAAAUUGGCUACUGCAAAGAUAAGCUAUAUAGAAUUGCAAUCUCAACGGCACAUUAAUGAUUGCCUUCGGAACACCCAACUUUCGUAACUCACGACGUACCACAUGGAGGAAAUCCAUCUUAUUUUGAUAAACCGAUUGAUGAUUGACUAAACGACAACGUGAACAAAAAUUGCGAUUUUUCGAGAGAUCGCGGCCCCGCGCUGAAUGAUUUGGCCACUUGUUGAAUGCGAAACGGGGAGUGGCUGUCGGUGGUAAAAUGGUUUGGGAGAACGUGGGAGAGAGUACGGCAGCGGUGGGCCUCACUUGUUGCAAUCAUCAAACGGAAAAGUCAUCGAACAGGUUGUUGCGCCGCAGCGCGACGCAUCGUGUAGUAUCAUAGCCAAAUUCAUUUUCAUCGAAAUCCUCACACACACACACACACACACACACACACACACACACACACACACACACACACACACACACACACACACACACACACACACACACACACACACACACACACACACACACACACACACACACACACAAAACAGUGAUGGUCACUGCAAGCCAUCGGCUGAAAUUAACGUACUAUACCUCUGCGAUUUGGCAAACAUCAAUAUUUAUUCCCGCACAAAUAUUCCUACCCCUGCAUUUUGAUUAUCGUCAAAAUUUGACCUGCGACUUAAAAAAAUUUUUCUAUAAAAGUGUUAUCAGUUCAUUACAUGUCUUUUCUUUCAACAUGAGAAAUAAAUAAUAAUUCCAUUUUCUUACCAUUUUGCAUCUCACUGUAAUUUUUUUUUCGAAAAACGUGAAAAAAAAUUAAAAAGCGAAUACAUAUUUGUAAUAACUAAAACAUAAAGAGAUUUUAAAAUAGCAAAGAAAAUCGAUUACCGUCAUACAGUAGCACACAUCUAACGUAAACGCUGAUUUAUAAAUACUUGAAUGGAAACUUAAAUCGUAUACUCCAAAAUUAGAGACCUGCCCGUCGACCAGGUCAUUAUUCUCUGAUGGUGCUUAUUUAUGUUACUGAAAUUGCUACUUUUAUUUCCAACGUCUUAAAAGCGCAAACAAAAUGUUGUCAUCGAAAUAAUGUAACAAAAAUCUUUACUUUUAAUUUAUAAAAAAAAUUUACUAAUUAAAAAAAUAUAUAUAUAAUUAAAAUGUUAUUUUUGCAUUUAACAGCAAUGUCAUAAAGAGAAUUGGUCGUAAAACCUCACAGAAAUAAUUCUUCCUCCCAUAAUCUUUAGUCCUAACAUAUCUAUAAUUUGAUAAUGUGACAGAGUGGCGUGAGUACUUUUAGCUCUGCCAGGGUCGCCCCACGCGGUGUCUCUGUGUGGAUGCGCGUGUUAUUAAGAAACGAAGCCAAAAGUCUCCUCCUCCAUUCUGGACACGCGGCGCGGCGCGGUCACGACCGCAAAACUGCACCACGCUUUCUGUUGUGCGUGUCUUUUGUGCUCGUUUCUCGUCCGCGAAAAGGGUUCCCCUUUUUCUUUCACACCGGCAGGUAUACACGCGGAUAGUAUCGAAAAACCGGCUGGUUCACUUUGUUGCCAGGAGAUAAUGGCCGUGCGAAUCGUAAAUAAGGUAAUAGGUCUUUGGAGAGCCCCGGGUACCCGGGGCCCAAAGAUCGGGUGACGUAAGCGGGAGCCUCUUAAGGUAUCCUGCGCGCUUCCACGAGAAGCGGACACAUCGGAUAUAAAUCGUCUUCUCCUCUCUUUUCUCUUGUCGCUCCGUUAAAUACAUCGAAAACAAGAACGCAUAGUUCUUGAACCUUUUUACAUCGUUUUACUCUACUGUUUACUGCAAUGUCUGCAACACAUUCUUUAUCGCGUCAUUUGUUUCGCUUUUUAAAAAAAUCUCUUUGAUAUAUCUACGUCGUUUACAUUCAUAAAUAAUCCCUAGCUCUCUUUAAUUAUUCCAAAACUCUUUCACAUCAUGCAGAGAAAAGUUUCACUCUAUAUGUAAUAUUUCUUUUUUGUAUUUAAUCUUUAUGUCAAUUUGCAAUUAGAUUUUAUAAUUGUGUAGAAAAUUAUUUGCCACUUUACGUACUAGGUACUGUCACGAACUCUACGGGCGGACGUUCUUUGCAUAGCUCUCAAAUCUACUUCUACCGCUAAUGGAAAUAACGCGCCGGGCGUUAUUGCAACUUCAACUCACGCUGGCUUAGCUGAUGCAGCUACAGUUGAAUAAACAUCGGCAGAAGGCGGCGAUGCGACGCGACCGCGUCGAGCGUCGGGCGACGAAACAACUUGCGCGACAACACAUCCGCGCAAAUAACGAGGCCGGGCAUUAUCGUUCGGCCGCGGACAUGCGAAUCUGCCGAUUACGCGCGUCAACGGCCAUUAAUAAAAGCGCGACAGAAAGCCGCGGAGAAGGAAAGAGGAACGGGGAAAAGAUGAGCGAGAAGUAAUCGCUCGUUAAAGGUAUGAAAAAAGGUAGUGAAUAUUCUAUUCGGGGGAACGGAAGAGGGAAGGAGAAACGCGAGGGACGCGAUUGUGAAUAGUGAAUCGAAUGCGCGCGACGUUGAUACGGCGCGACUACUUCUCGUCCUAACGACAGACAAGUUUUUCCCAGCGAGAGAAAAGACCACGCGCGCCGUUUAUUACCCUUAUGAAAUAGCGAAGCGGCACAAUUAUUUCAUGCGUGCGCCACCUCUGUCGUAACAUCUAUCUCCGAUUGGCCGCUUCGAGAUGCGCUCGUGCGAGAAUAUUAAACACUGUAAAACAGUGUAAAACAGUACAACAGCCUUUGUUAAGCUUUCGUGAGCUUCAAGGUUAGCUUCGAUUCAGCUUAGACGAGCUUAGACCAAGAUAAUCAGCGAGAGAAAAAACACCGUUAGUUUAAUUUUACCACGAUAAAUUAGAUUUGAAAUCUCUGCUUGUUAGCGUAGAAAGCAUAUAGUGACCGUAAAAACGACUGGGAGGAGCGUGUUCGAUAUUAUUGCCGGUGCUCAUUUUGUUAAUCGCCAUUGUUAAUUAAAUAGAAUCACGAUCCUCUUGCCUGCGAACGAUCCUGAUUACGAAGACUCUCGCGACGGUAGUAAAGAUGCUUAGAAUAUCCUGGCGAUAUUGAUACUUUACCUCAGAUGUACAAGUAUUUUUAAUAUUCACACUUUGUCACCUCCUAACGUUGCGUUAGCUAAGUAUUUCAAGAGGCAGUAACAAAUAAAGAAGCUAAUAAACUAACUAUUGCGCUUAAGAAAUAUACUUUUAUAACACAUAUAAUUAUAAUAAUUAUGCUGCUCCAAUUAAAAAAUUAAUUGACAUCUGUGCCGCCAUUUAUUUAAAGUUAAUCGUAUUUUUCUUCUUUUUUUUCCUUUUAUACUAAUUUGUAAAUAUAAUAUAGAUAUUUUUACGUCACUAAUUAUAAGUAAAUUUCGCUUCAAGCAUUUCUCUUAUUCGUAUUCACAUUAGUGCUAUUUACAUCACAUAUAAUUAAAUCACUUUGUAUUUAUCUUGUCACACACAUGCACACACACAAAACGCACGCAUACACGCAUGCUCAUAUUAUGUGUAUAUGUGCAUAUUGCUGUCCUUAAGGGCUUUUUUCUUCAAAUACUCAAUAAUUAUUGUUAUUCGCAUUGCCCUUUAAUAUUGUAAACUUGUGAUUGCAAAAAUUUAAUUCAUGCCAAUCAACAAUGCAAAAAAAUAUAUGUAUGUAUGUAUGUAUGUAUGUAUGUAUGCAUGAUAUAUAUGUAUGUAUAUGAAAUAAUUAUAAAGUGAUAUUGAUAUUUGCGAAAUAAACGUGCACGUCAAGUUACCAGAACUCCAUUCACGUUACUUUUAUUUAAAUUUGAAUGCUCCAGAUUCGGACAAUGGACCCGUUCAACGAUCGCGAAAACUGUUCUACACGCGAAUAAUAAUCAAUCGACGAAAUUACAUGGAAUUACCGCAUAUACCGAAGUUUUCAUGCAAACGAUUCGUAUGAUGCACGUAAAAUUCUUUCAGAUUGGUAGUGAUUUUGAAACGCGCUAAAGGCGGACGCGUGCUCGAUCAACGUCGGCGCGCAGCGAGAGAACGCUAACAAAUGCCCCCUUCAUCGCAGGAAGGAGUUGAGUACCGUGGGGUGAACUAACAGAAGGGACAUAUGCAGAAUCGGUAGAAUGCGGAGGAAGAGCACGUGGUGAAAUUCUUGACGCGCGCGGAAGCGUGCGCUUUGAAUAAACACAGAUCUUCCACAAUAGCUAAUCGUAAGAAUGGGAAACGAGUCUACCGUAAUAAUAUCCUCCCACGAUAUCGGUAACAUUUAAUCACUUGGUAAAUGGGUUGCUCACUAAUACUGUAAAAAAAUCUCGCUCUCGUAAAAAGUAAUCUUAAAUUUAAUUAACGUAACAUUUUAACAUAUUUUUUGCUGAUAAGUUGUACAUUUUCCAUAUUUAUCACUGAACAAAUUUAUGUUUGAUACAUUAAAGCUUAAGAAAAUGUGAAACAUGGCAGAUUAAAUCUUCGUAGCAAUUUUGAUACAAAAUUUUGAUUAAAGAAUCUUUCACUUAAUUUGCUCUGCAGUGCUCGAGAGAACAUUCGGCAGUUCUGGGACACCCUGUGCGGCGUAACUUCACUUCUCGUCCCGCCGCGCAAUCUCACGUCCGUGUCGCAACGGACUGGGACACGUACAUACACGAGCGCGGAUUCGCGCAUGAACGUGCACGCCGAGUCGGGCAUUACGGGUCCCUCUGGCCUGUAUAUAUCGCUGUGAUUAUAUUACAGUCUAGAUGUAUAUAUCGCUAUGAUUAUAUUAUAGAUUGGACGACACCUAACGUCGGCAGAACGGGUCAGAGGAGGAGAGGAUUCCGAACAAUCUCCACUCACGCCUCAGACGCUCCGAAGUGCGUGAUCCAUGCAGUGAGAGAGACAUGUCGUUUUCGGUGUGUCAGCACUUGCGCGCGCGCACGUGUGUGUAUGUGUGUGUACAGGUGAGCAUUUCGCGCGUACUUCAAAUACACGUGCCAUUGUACGACACAAUCGACAUUACCCCCCUGGGGUUUUUGCUUCUUCCCCCUGAACCUGCGCGCUAUUAAACGAAACUCGUCCUUCGCGCGAGAGCACUUGUCAGCGCUUAAGUAAAGAAGACAAAGAUAGAGAUAGAUAGAUAGAUAGAUACAGAGAGGGACGGAAGUAUGUAUAACGAGGGAAAUUGGUGCCAAAAGUCGCGGCUUUCUCCGGAAUCCUCAGCGAUCUUGGAGUUCUACCUCUUCUCGAUGUUGAGAGGAGAGAGGGGGGAGGUAUAGUGUCAGUUAAAUAAUUCAUGAGGCUCCGGGGCGCGAUGAAUUCCAACGGAAUAUUUGGUAACACAAUACGGAAUAUUUAUAGAAACGUAAUUUACCCAAGAUCGAGCAUUGUCCGGAGAACAGAAUUCUUACUUGUUUAUCGCGAGGUCACGAUCGAUCUUCUCAUGAAGGAUUCUCAGGGGGGGAGGGGGGGUUGAAAAGCGCCUCGGGCAAUAAAAUUGUCGCUUCAUUUGCAGACUUUAGCGAAUAACGCUGGGUAAAGGAAUGACGAGAACGUAAUCCUGCUGUAGCGGAUAGCGAGAUCGGCGAUUCUUGGAGUGGCCAUCUGACGGGGUGGUUAAAAACUCGCUUGUACCAGCACAGGAAUGACGAGAGAGUGCAGCUUCGAUCGUCUUCCACCACGUGGACGAUAUCGCCUUCGGUAAAUGCCUUCGUCACGCGAGGGGUGAACCGUUUAUAGUUUACAAGGAAGUCAGCCUUUUUCUCCCUCUCUCUACCGCGCGCGAACACAUCCCCCGUACGGCCCUUUCUUGGAGGUUGCCGCCACCGCGAGAGGGGCAGGGGGUAGCUCGGUUCACCCGCCAACCAACUCUCUCUCUCUCUCUCUCUCUCUCUUUCUCUCUCACGCAUCGCAACCUUUCCUCUGUCCGGCCUUACACGAAGCCGGCUGUCGUGAGAACGAUAAUCGUUUUAUCCAUGUGAGAGCAGCAAGACGUGUAUCACCUGUUUGUUUUCUCAAAGCUUCGCUCGGAAAUGAUCACUCGUUCCGCUUGGUGAUAUCGUACGCGAAAAAUUCAACUUUGCGGAGUCGAGUUUCGUUUCAAUAUACUAACUUUUCUAAAUAGAAUCGCAAUGCCGAGAAACUAGAGAAAAGCGGAAUAUCAAAAAGAUAUGCAUUUCGAUUAACUACUGUUAGUUUGAUAAGAGAAAGAAGAGAGGAGAGAGAGAGAGAGAGAGAGAGAGAGAGAGAGAGAGAGGGAGCGAAUAAUCCAAUUCGAAGUCUUUGGGUGAAUACUCGCAAGUUUUCAUUAACACCGAAAAAGAACGAUUUAACUUAAAAGCAUGAACAAAUCCUUCUUUUUAAAGUAUGAAUUUAAAUUAAGUUUGCAGGUACACAACUCUUGAGAGACUUAAUAGGUGCAUGUAUACCUCUGUAAAUCGAUAAUGAAGAUACAGUUCUAUCGCUAUUGCUUCUAACAAAGGAAUCAAGGAAUUGCGAUCAAGACACGCUUGUUCGCGAAAAAACGAGAGUGAUCUUUUCCUUCGUUCAAUCAAUAUUUAUCGUGGAAUUGAAAGGAUUACAACAUACAAAUACGUAUAUUAAUUUAUAUCGGGCUUCAAAACAAUUUUUACAACUGAUUAACUUUUCAAAUUAACUUGAUGAAAUUUAGCGAUUCAGUAAUUAUGACAAAUUGUUUAAUUGCUCCAAAUUAAAAAUUUCCUUCUCCUCUAAAACAAUACGUGCCGCAUUUUUCCUUUAUUCUUUGUAUCUCAUUUCUCUUUUAAUUAUUUGUAUCUCAUUUCAGAAAUAUGAUACAUAUAGCCAUAUGUGCUGAUAAUACUCGUUCGAUAUUACAAUGUAUAAAGUCAAAGUUUGCGAUUCGAGCGGUUAAUUACCGAUUGACCGUUCACCCUACAGCAACUACCUGAUCGAAUAAGCAGCUAACGAAAUUUCCGGCUAAUUGAAACCGCUAUGAGGCAGCCGCUAGCAUUCCGAUAUACAGCGUUCGGUCGUUCUUUCGAUCGAUCGGCAUGAUUCGCGAUAUACGACGAAUCGACGGCAGUGAUAGUCAUUCAGUGCGUCUAUGUAUCUCUGGUGCCCUUCGUCCCAGAUGUCUCUCUCUCUCUCUCUCUCUCUCUCUCUCUCUCUCUCUCUCUCUCUCUCCUUCUACCUCUCGUCCUCUCUCUUGCUCGCUCGUCCUUUAACGAGGCUGGUCGAGGGUCGAUCCCCGUUCGACAUGUAAAUGUAAAUGUAAAUGUUGAACAAGAUCCCGUCAGGGUUUCCCAACCUCGAGUAAGAGGCACGUCGACAAACUAAUGCUUCGAUAGUUGGAGAGAGAGAAAGAGAGAAGAGCAGUCUCUGAGAGCCACUCGUGCUGGGGACACUCGCUGACUCCCUCUCUCUCCCCCCCGCCCUCUCGGUAUGUGGCAAGAGUGUUGCGACCAUCUCCGACACAGUUGGCAGUGGUGAUCAAUCUUGCUCUUGGAGACCAAAGACACAUUCCAACCGCCCACCUCUUCUCGUGCGGGAGAACAAUAAAAGCCGAGCAAUAAAAAGUCCUGGCGGCGAUAACGCGGCCACCUUAGACGCGCCAGUCGCGUUACGAUAACACGCCUUCGAGAGUUGAUUCAUUAUCGAUCGCUACUCCUCCCUAUUUUCCCUAACGCCAAAUCUUUGUUUUUAAACAAAAAUGAUCGAUAAAUUUGUUUUAAUGAUGAAUUCUUUCUGAAAUUCCAAGUUGUUUACCUUAAAACAAUAAAACGAUUCUACAAUUAAACGAUUAAAAACAGAAGGCAAUAAUUAAUUGGUGCUUUCACAUAAAGCUCACUUUUUUACGUUAAAAAAAUGAUUUUUAUAUCGUAUAAUAUAUAAUUGUAAUAUUGUGUACGAAUAUUCUGUUAAUAUAAAAGUUAAUAAAAAAGUAAAUAGAAAAUAUUUCUUUUUUUUGUGAUGAAAAACGGCUUGUUAUUCCGCGCGUUGAACACAUCUGGUAACAUUUAAUGGCGUAGGAUAAUUUCCGGGAACAAGGAUGAGAACCGCUUGGGAUUUCAGUGGGCGGCGUUGGUCCCCUCAUCAAAUGCUUGUCAUACCGUUCUUACCCUCAAACUCCGGAGCCUAACGGAUCCCAACAGCCGAGUAAAGCUCGUACCCCGCACCCCCGUCGUAUACACAACGAGAAAGAGGAUUGUGCGUGCGUGUUCGUGUGCAUGUGAUGGGAAGCGGACUCGACUACCCCAAUGGACAUCGUAGACCAACGUUUAAAAAGCCAUAGGCUGGAGCGAUACGCCCCUGUGGAUGGAUGGGAAUUAUGCCGCUAAAACUCACCAAUUAUGAAACCCGAACGGCUCGUUUUCUCUCUCUCUCUCUCUCUCUCACUUUCCUUUAAUCUUAAACGCACCAAAGUAUCUCCUUCAAAUAUACAAAGAAAAAUGAGUAAUUAAUUUUUGACGGAAUUUGCAACUGCAAACCAUUAAUACGAAUAUCACACGUUGAUUAUUAUCGAUAUACAUUUAAAACACUUUAAUGGAAUAUUACAAAAAGGAACAAAUUUGACAGAAAAUAAUUUAGAUUAAAUGUAAUUUUCAUAAUUUUAUAUUAAUAAUAAAAAAAGUAGAAGAAAGUUACAAUUAAAGUGCGAUAAAACUUAAAACUUAAAUUUGGAUUUAUCGACUUACGACCUAAACUGAUGCGCAAGAAGUACGUAACGACAAGAGGAAUGGCUUGUAAAACGUAAAGUAGAAAAUCGACGCGUCAGAUGGAAGAGAGCGUGCAAUUGUAUUCCGAGAUGCUCGGAGAAACAGUUACUAUCCAGCCGGGGCGUCAGCGAUAUAACAUGUAUUUACGAUGGGUCAAACAAUGGGAGAGAGGACGAGAUGAACAGAAUCCCUUUCGAUGUAUCAUAGUCCAUCAUCCGCCGCGGUGAAAAGGACCAUUCGUCUGAUUACGAUUUCGCGAAAUCCUGCGCGCCCAUCCACAUGACGGAUUAAUCAGGGGAAACCGCGCAUCAUUUCUUGCCCCCUUUCCCCGCUAUUAAUUAAUCCUUACGAUUAAUCGCUUCGAGUACUUCUCGUUGGGCAGUGAAUCGUUCUUAUAUAUUUGCACAAUCUAACUUAAAUAAAAAUAAUAAUAAUAAAAUAAAAACACA